rnacentral:misc_RNA from 1 species
GAUGAAGAACGUAGCGAAAUGCGAUAAGUAAUGCGAAUUGCAGAAUCCGUGAGUCAUCGAAUCUUUGAACGCACAUUGCGCCCGCCAGCAUUCUGGCGGGCAUGCCUGUUCGAGCGUCAUUUCAACCCUCGACCUCCCUUUGGGGAAGUCGGCGUUGGGGACAGGCAGCACACCGCCGGCCCUGAAAUGGAGUGGCGGCCCGUCCGCGGCGACCUCUGCGUAGUAAACCAACUCGCACCGGAACCCCGACGUGGCCACGCCGUAAAACACCCAACUUCUGAACGUUGACCUCGAAUCAGGUAGGACUACCCGCUGAACUUAAGCAUAUCAAUAAGCGGAGGA